rnacentral:rRNA from 1 species
CCUACGGGAGGCAGCAGUGGGGAAUAUUGCACAAUGGGGGAAACCCUGAUGCAGCGACGCCGCGUGAGUGAAGAAGGACUUCGUUAUGUAAAGCUCUAUCAGCAGGGAAGAAAAUGACGGUACCUGAGUAAGAAGCCCCGGCUAACUACGUGCCAGCAGCCGCGGUAAUACGGAGGGGGCAAGCGUUAUCCGGAUUUACUGGGUGGAAAGGGAGCGGAGACGGCAGUGCAAGUCUGGAGUGAAAGGCGGGGGCUUAACCCGCGGAUUGCUGUGGAAACUGGACGGCUGGAGUGCAGGAGAGGUAAGUGGAAGUCCUGGUGUAGCGGUGAAAUGCGUAGAUAUUAGGAGGAACACCAGUGGCGAAGGCGGCUCACUGG